rnacentral:rRNA from 1 species
AGAGUUUGAUCCUGGCUCAGAUUGAACGCUGGCGGUAUGCCUUACACAUGCAAGUCGAACGGCAGCGCGGGAGCAAUCCUGGCGGCGAGUGGCGAACGGGUGAGUAAUAUAUCGGAACGUGCCCAGUAGUGGGGGAUAGCCCGGCGAAAGCCGGAUUAAUACCGCAUACGACCUAAGGGUGAAAGGGGGGGAUUCGCAAGAACCUCUCGCUAUUGGAGCGGCCGAUAUCAGAUUAGGCAGUUGGUGGGGUAAAAGCCUACCAAGCCUGCGAUCUGUAGUUGGUCUGAGAGGACGACCAGCCACACUGGGACUGAGACACGGCCCAGACUCCUACGGGAGGCAGCAGUGGGGAAUUUUGGACAAUGGGC